AAUAGAUACCCAGGUAGUCUUGGCUGUAAACGGUGCGCAUUUGCUGUAAACGGAAUCGACCCCGUUUGUGGCGAAGCUAACGCGAUAAAUGCGCCGCCUGGGAAGUACGGUCGCAAGAUUAAAACUCAAAGAAAUUGACGGGGGCCUGCACAAGCGGUGGAGUAUGUGGCUUAAUUCGAUGCAACGCGAAGAACCUUACCUGGCCUUGACAUGCAAGUGGUAGAACCAUGAAAGUGGGACGACCCCGCAAGGGGAGCUUGCACAGGUGCUGCAUGGCUGUCGUCAGCUCGUGUCGUGAGAUGUUGGGUUAAGUCCCGCAACGAGCGCAACCCUUGUGUCCUGUUGCCACUCCUUCGAGAGAAGGAAGCACUCUGGACAGACUGCCUCGCUUAAACGAGGAGGAAGGUGGGGAUGACGUCAAGUCAGUAUGGCCCUUACGGCCAGGGCUGCACACGUACUACAAUGCGCGGCACAGAAGGAAGCUAGACCGUCAGGUGGAGCAAAUCCCGAAAACCGCGCCC
rnacentral:rRNA from 1 species